rnacentral:lncRNA from 1 species
UAUGCCAUGGGUGGCCUAAAAAGAUGGAAAAAAAAAAAAAGAAAGAAAAGAUUGAAAAUUUUAAGUCUAUAAUAUUUAAAAGCUAUUCCUCAUCCCACCAAUCUUUCUCUCAGAUGGAUUAAAACAUUUUUUUAGUUAUUUAUAAGAGUAUUUUGACACUGGAAUUCACUUCACAUGGAACAUUAUGAUUGUUCUAGACGAUCAUAGAACAUUGGAUCCCUAACUGUGUUACACUAGAUUAAAUGAAUAGGCGAUAGAUUUACGGGGGCUAAGAAGAUAUGACAAUCAAGGAAGCAGAGUAUUAUAAACUUAGAUCAUAUCUCUGGUCGAGGGAAAUGUUAUAAAAAUCCUUCAGGGACAACUAGGGGAAUUUGAAAAUUGGACUUUAUUAUAUGAUUGUUAUUAAAUGAAUAUGUAACUCUUAAGUAUGUUAAUGCUGAUACAGUUAUGAAGAGGAAUCUCCUUUUGCUUAGAUUCAUGCUGAUGUAAGGGUUUGCAACGGUCUUCAAGUGGUUCUACAAAGUGUAGAAAGUGGUUCUACACAGUGUGUGUGUGCAUGUGUGCGUGUAAAUGCAUUGAGUAUGGAAAGUUGGGAAAUGAUGGAGGGGGAUAGACGGUGGGUACAUCUGACAAAAUGUUAAUUUGUGAAAUUUGUGGCAAAAUAUUACAAUAGUGAAUAAAGAGUAAAUGAACAUUCAUUAUAGUCAUUUCAACUUCUCUGUAGGUUUAAAUAUUUUCACAAUUAAGAUUGGGGGAAAUACAAUAAAGAGAAAUUAAGUGUGGAAAAGCAGUGAUUACUUUAAAGUGAUUUUUCAUCACUUCCAAACCCUGUGAAGGGCUACCUGCUAUCUAGGUUUCAUCUUUUUUUUUUUGGUCUUUUGUCUUUUUAGGGCCAUACCCUCAGCAUAUGGAGGUUCCUAGGUUUAGGGGUCUAAUCACAGCUGUUACUGCCAGCCUAUGCCGGAGCCGAGCCACAGCAAUGCCUGCGACCUACACCACAGGUCACAGCAAUGCCGGAUCCUUAACCCACUGAAUGAGGCCAGGGAUCAAACCGCAACUCGUGGUUCCUAGUCAGAUUCAUUGCCACAGUGCCAAGACGGGAACUCCCUAGGUUCCAUCUUUAUUGGAUGAGAUAAAGUGAUGAAAUGGUUUUUCAGUUAUUAUAUUUAGAUACUUUUAAUGGAAUCUACUCAUCAAGUGGUUCUCUGUGGACAAACAAUAUUCUUUAGUAUAUCAGAAAUCAAGAUUAGGAAGGUACUAUAGAAGGAAGCAGCCUAUAAUCCCGAGCAUCUAUUGGGUUGCCUCCUAGUGGAAGCAUUUUGGUUUAAAUUCAUGGUGUGUGUGUCUAGGGAGGGGAAAAUGUGUUUACCAGUUUUUUUUUUUGUUUGUUUGUUUGUUUGUUUGUUUGUUUUGUCUUUUGUCUUUUUGGUUGUUGUUGUUGUUAUUGUUGCUAUUUCUUGGGCCGCUCCCGCGGCAUAUGGAGGUUGCAGACGCAGCUUGCAUCUGGUGUUGGUUGCUGUGGCUGUGGUAUAGGCUGGCAGCUACAGUGCUGAUAUGACCCCUAGCCAAGAACUUCCAUGUGUCACAGGUGCAACCUUAAAAAGAAGGAAAAAAAGGAGUUAUUGUUCUUCAAAACAAAAAGACUUCUGGGGGGUUGGGACAAGGAGGAAGGCAAGAGGAAAUGUGAAUAUGAAUGCUUAUCUGAGCAGAACCUUGAUAAUGCGUCUACCAGCUGUACUCAAA